GGGGCUUUAGCUCAGCUGGGAGAGCAC
rnacentral:tRNA from 1 species